UACGUAGGGGGCUAGCGUUGUCCGGAAUCAUUGGGCGUAAAGCGCGCGUAGGCGGCCCGGUAAGUCCGUUGUGAAAGUCAAAGGCUCAACCUUUGAAAGCCGAUGGAUACUGCCGGGCUAGAGUCCGGAAGAGGCGAGUGGAAUUCCUGGUGUAGCGGUGGAAUGCGCAGAGUAUCAGGAGGAACACCGAUAGCGAAGGCAGCUCGCUGGGACGGUACUGACGCUGAGGCGCGAAAGCGUGGGGAGCGAACAGG
rnacentral:rRNA from 1 species